rnacentral:rRNA from 1 species
UACGUAGGGUGCAAGCGUUGUCCGGAAUUACUGGGCGUAAAGGGCUCGUAGGCGGCCAACUAAGUCAGACGUGAAAUCCCCCGGCUUAACCGGGGAACUGCGUCUGAUACUGGAUGGCUCGAGUUUGGGAGAGGGAUGCGGAAUUCCAGGUGUAGCGGUGAAAUGCGUAGAUAUCAGGAGGAACACCGGUGGCGAAGGCGGCUUGCUGGGCCAGUUCUGACGCUGAGGAGCGAAAGCGUGGGGAGCGAACAGG